rnacentral:rRNA from 1 species
UUUAAAUAGCUGCAGUAAUUUAACUGUACAAAGGUAGCAUAAUAAUUAGUCUUUUAAUUGAGGUCUGGAAUGAAUGGUUUAACAAGAGAUAAACUUUAUUAAUUUAAUAAAAUUUGAAUUUAGUUUUUUGGUUAAAAAACCAGAAUUUUUAAUUGGGACGAUAAGACCCUAUAGAUCUUAAAUUUUUUUAUUAAUUUUCUAUUUUUAGUUGUUUUUAUAAAUUUAAAAAUUAAAAUUUUGAUUGGGGUGAUUUAAAAAUUUUUAAAACUUUUUAAUAAAUUUACAUUUAUAAUUGAAUUGAAUUGAUCUUGAAUUUUUGAUUAUUAGAUUAAGAUACCUUAGGGAUAACAGCGUAAUAAAUUUGGAUAGUUCAUAUUGAUAAAUUUUGUUUACGACCUCGAUGUUGAAUUAAUUAAAAUAUUUAAAGUAGAAAUUAAGUUUAUUAGGUCUGUUCGACCUUUAAUUGAUUACA